UUAAAAAAGUUGCCCCAAAUAUUUCCCCCCAGGAGAUAGUUAUGUGAUGAUAAGCUUACAAUGCUUUAUUGCUGUGCCUUUGACAUAUGAUUUAACCCAUUGAUGCAAUGUCAGGAUUCUCUGAUUUGCCUCUCUCUGCCCUUGCCUAUAGGAAGGAGAUUCUAAGAUGAGAACAGAAGUAAAUCUAUAUUAUAUUAGGGUCUGACAGAGACGGUGAAGUCUUCCUGCAAAAUUAUGCUGGGAAAUUAUGAGGCCCAUCCCUGAGGUGAGGGAUCACACUGAAGUCUGGCUCCAAGUGUUCUUCCUACUUAAGCUUCUAAGGCCAAACGAUAACAGACAAAUACACUGCUGGAAACUGAUGGUGUGGUGCUUCACUCUUCCAACUAUUUCCAGAAAGGUAGCUUUCACUACUGGAAAAAUCUUUAAUACAAAGUAGAGGAAAUUUAGAGAUCCUUGCCCUGGCCUGAUGGGUGGUCAGUUCCUGAUAUGAGUCAACAGGCUCGGGAACAGGGUGUUCUUAGCAUUCUAGCCCACUGAGAGAGUUCAGGUAGAGGAGAGAGAAAAGGUCCCCUCCCAUGGAACCUGCAGGCAUGCUCAGCAGAAGUGAGCAGCUCUGUCAGCUAAGCUGCCAGCCAGCUGAGGCUGCUUCUCAUACUAGAGAUGCUCAAUUAUUUUUCACCAGAACAUAUCAUCUCUUCACUUCAUCAUAAGGCUGUUAGCUCACUUUAGAAAGAGAAAACAUGUCACGGUCUCUCUGUGUCUUCCCGUCAUACAUCUGAGCCAGCCCAGCCACAGCUCAUCUUUGGCAAGUUUAAUGAGUUUUCUUUCCUAUCUCUUUUCCAUCACUGAGAUCAUCUUUAAAACAUGUAAAAGGAGUGGACUCUGCCCGGUGCUCAAAAUCUUUCCCUCUUCUGCCUCCCGGUCAUGUUGACCUGGCCUUGACAAACCCUGCUAUGACUUUAGCCGCUAACCUGAUGCUCACCUAAUGUGCUGAUGAAUCAUUCUUACUGAUGAAUGUGGCCUACAGAGGUAGGAGACAUCAUAAGACAGGACCUAGUACAGCCUGUAUGGCUACAUCCCUUCACUCUGUCAGGCCUAUCCUACUGGCCUAGAUUCAGACUGGCUAUGACAUGCAUUCUUACAGUUACCUUGACCUUAAGAAAAAUAAGUUCUCAAAAGUAUUUUUCCUAGUUUGAUGGGUUUAGAUAAGCAGCAUCUUGUUUUUCCUGGACCAAAUGGAGCAGUCAGCCUACUAUUCUCCCUCAUGUCCUCUCAUACCAUUUAUCUCUGCACAUCCUUUGAGUGUAUCUCUAGUCUGUCUCCAGAAGUCUCUAGUCUGUCCCCCACCCCCCUCCUGCUCUCUCUUUGAUCCUGGUUGCUGUCCAGAAAGAAUGCAGAGCAGACUUCAAUGCUGGGCCAGUACUUUUCCAUUGUAUCAUUUCCUCAGCAUCUGACAAAGUCCUAGCCUCCUUUAUAAAACAUCAUUUGGAUUAAAUAAUAACAGUCCUCAUCUUCACACUUGCAAGGUGUGGUGGAACCGAACCAUACAACUCAGCCUUUCCCACAAAUCUAACAAACAAACCAAGAGCAUAUGAUUAUUCUUCAAUAGCUUUCUUUGAAGGGAAGAAGACAGGGUGUUCUGGGCCUAUUGGGUGAAGCCGACUUCCUUGACACAGGCUCUGUUCUCCCAUAGAACAGGCAGGCUACCCUGACCUAACAAGGCCAUCUAAAACUUUCGCCUUAGGAACAGACAAACUUUGUGAUUCCUCUAAAAUGAAGAGUCUGCUUUGAAGUGGGUGUUCCAACAGUGUGUGGGAUACCACAGCUCUGACCAGCAAUGAGUCACGAGUGGCCAAGGGUGGGUGUUUCACUGAUGGCUAAGGGGAGUCGAUCAUCUGAGGUUAUGACACUGAGCGAAGUGCCUAAUGAUAGCUUCUCUAGCUACUUGGGAUUGAAAUGACAAGCUAUGCCCUCUAAGAGGUUUAGCUGAAGGAGACACACGCCAGCUUAUUGAAAACCCUUUCCUAUUAGCACCGAUAGCAAUUAAUUACAAACAUCUAUGCUGAUUUAUGGACACCUGCUUAGCAUCAACCACACAGGCCCACCCCUCCAAUUAUUUAGUGAUACAAUGUCCCAUUCAUUUUGCUCAGGGCAGUCAAGACUUUUCUAAUUUCCUGUGGCCACCUUAAGCUCUGUGUAUAUCUUCCUCUUCCAAAUUACCAACAGGCCUCGAACAGAUUUGCCUGGUUUUGAAAACAGCAGGAGGCACCGUUUGAACUUUCUGAAAUGCAGAUACAUGCGUGAGCACACGCGCGCGUGCACGGAGGUCACUCAAUCCAAGCGCAAUAUGAUAAGGUCCUUUAUAUGCAAAUGUCCUGGAGUCUUAAUGCUCAGGCAUACACGACUUCCAUUUUCCAUCUCACUUUAGGGCUGUAUCACAAUUGGAUGUGCUUCUUAUUUAUAACACCAUUUUUGCAGCAGUAAAGAGAUCCAGGAUAAGUGACGAGCAAAGUGACUUCAGAAGUCAGCCUAGGACAUUACUCCCCACGCCUAGUCCUUACCAAUGUCAAGUGCAAAAUUUAAAUUAACAGGCACUUCCCUUAUUGAAAUGACUUCAGCACUUUUGCUGUCUCCCAUUGAUUUCUAUUUACUUUGGCAUCUACAGGCAGGAAGAACAUAUUUUUUGUGCCUGACGAAGCCACCUACGACUUCACCGGGUCCCUAGCUGGAAUACAGUGCUGCUGUGAGCUCACGUGAGGGUUAACAUAAUCCGAGAACACUAUGUACGUGAUUUCUCUCCAGACCUUCCCUUCCCAUUGGCAUUCCCUUAGAGCCACCUCUCUGCUGUAUUUUCAUAUUAAUAAAUGAUCUAUAGGACUCUAACCUAGCAGUAAAUACGCUGUCAGAAGCAUCUUAAUACUAACUGGCUUGUCUGAAAAUAUGUUAUUGGUCAGAUAAUAUGGGUAAGGGGUAACUUCGACUCCCUCCUAGCUUAUGGAAAAGUCCAUAAGUCUCUGUUGAAGUAAGUGUUGUGUGUGUGUGUGUGUGUGUGUGUGUGUGUGUGUGUGUGUGUGUGUGUGUGUGUGUGUUUAUGUGUGUGUGGAGGAGGGAGUUGUUUCUGUUUUUGUUUUUUGUUUUUUUUUCUUAUGGUCCAAGCUGGCUCCAGAAGAGCCCAAAUAAGUUUGAAUUCAUUUCUUGGUUUGGGGUUUGUUUUCUGUUUGUUUGUUUGUUUGUUUGUUUUGUUUUGUCUUGUCUGUUCUUCAAAAGCAAUUCAUUUCAGAGUUAGUUCUUAGAGUUCAAAAAUGGAAUAAAAGCAUUCAGAAGGUAGCUGUAAUUAAAAUGCAAACAUGGUGUAUUUGAUUCGUCUAGCAAAGGUAGUGAGCCAGGAAGUUCAGAAAAUAUUUGCUCCCUCUAAUUUCAGACUAAAAUGACUUCAGUGAUUCAAUGUCCCCUUGAACCUCUCUUUUGGGCACUACAGGUGGAAGCAGGAAGUGUCCCUGGGACAGAGGAAGAACUCUCAGGCUGUGUCACCAUAGCUAAGCCUCUGCUUUCUCGGGAAUGUCAUAAAAUAAGGCCAUGUAAAGACCAAUUUGGAAGCCUCUUAGACACACUGAGGUCACCGGCUUUUCUGAACUUCCUGGCUAACCUUCCAUGGUUCACAGGCCCUGACAGGAUACAAGGAACCUGUGUGGCUCAACGUUGGGUGGGAGGAGAGAUGUGGUACCAGGCAGGAGGCAGGAGGUGGCAGCCCAACCAGAACACCUGAGAGCAGGGCGUGAGCUGUUUUAAUGACCUCAGAUAGCCAGGGCCUCUGUUUUAUGUCUUAUCGCAAUUACUGGGAAACCAGGCUCGAGAGUGGUGAAAGCAUCUGUCGGGCCACAUGCAUGUUCGCCACGGGUGUGCUGCUCCUUCAGAUCUAGCUGCAACAGGCGCCAGACCAGCCCAAAUGUAUUUCUUUGAAGAAUUAUGUACAAAAGUCACUUCUUGGAAAUUCUGAGUUACUCUAGAAGGAUCCUGGGUACUUACUGGCCAUGCCUUUGAAGCUUUGGCUAAUGAGACUGAUAGAAAACCACUGGCCAGGCCCUGGUGUAAGUGGACAUUUCCCAAGGAGAAAUUUUAUGCAGAGAAAAAUGCUCUCAUGGAGUCUUCCGUCAUAGAGAUAAGUGGUUUCCCAGACAUCUGUGGCUCUGGGACAUUGUCAUCUGGACAUUGUUCAGCCAGGUCUUAAAACACGUCACUUCUAUUCUCCCUCAGGCACUCAGAAAGCCUUUCCUAACUUCUAUGUUCCAGAGGCUGGGAAUAUAGCCGUGAGUGGUACUGGCAGGGUCUUACUCAGAUUCUCAGACAAGAGACAAUUAAGUAGUGUUAAGUGGGGUGAGUGUACAGAAAAUAAGACCUCAACCUGAACUGACAAACAGCACUGCUUCUCGGAACAGUCACACAGGCCACCAUCAGUUCACAGGGCCAACCUCAGAAUAAAGGAGCUGUGAGAACAAUUUCUCUGAAAAGGGAUAUGGAGUCUUCUGGGCCCAGAAAUGGUUUCUACUUACAUCCUUUGAAAAUUUCCAAAGGAGCUUGAGACCCCAUAUGAACAACAAUGCCAAGCAACCAGAGCUUCCAGGGACUAAGCCACUACCUAAAGACUAUACAUGGACUGACCCUGGACUCUGACCUCAUAGGUAGUAAUGAAUAGCCUAGUUAGAGCACCAGUGGAAGGGUAAGCCCUUGGUCCUGCCAAGACUGAACCCCUAGUGAAUGAGAUUGUUGGGGGGAGGGAAGUAAUGGGGGAGGAUGGGAAGGGGAACACCCAUAUCGAAGGGGAGGGGGAGGAGUUAGGGGGAUGUUGGCCCAGAAACCGGGAAAGGGAAUAACAAUCAAAAUGUAAAUAAGAAAUACCCAAGUUAAUAAAGAUGGGGAAAAAAUGAAUCAAAAUGUGAUUGUUUAGCACCUCAGAAUGCAGGCAGUGAACGGAUUAUGUCUGUCUUAUGUCCAUUUACCAAUUCUUUAUACAUGCUAUUCUUAAAAGCUCUUGAGAAGUAGUGAUUGGGGGUUCCAGAUGCAUUUAUCCAUUAUGUAGAUGUCAAGAUAGCAUUUAGUGUACUUACUUGCUCAACUGAUUUGCUCAAUCCAAAAAUCACAUUUAAAUCUCUUUUUUUAAAACAACCUGGAAGUCUCCACAUCCCUUUUUAGAAAAAGUGCUUUUGAACUUCCUUUAUCCUUCUCUAUUUCCUGACCCAAUUGCCAGAGAAAAUGUCAGUGGUCCUAUGUCAUAAAAGCUUCCCUGGUAUGCUUUAAGGGGUUUCUCCAUUAUCCUCACUUAUAAAUGAGAAAAUUAAACAUUAAGACACAAGAGACUUCCAUAGGAUCACACAGCCGAUGGGAGCUUUUCUGGACAGCACUCUGCGGGUGAUCCCUUGAAUGGCCUGUUCCCAUUGUCAAGGUCCCCCUUCUCUGAUGCCUGUUGGAAGAUUCUGACUUGAAACCUGUAUCCUAGGGAAAUCCGCUCAACGUCUGUUGGAGGAGAAAGUGUGUAACACAGACACUUGCAGAGGUCCCAAAGCCAGAGAAGGAAGAAGCAAAGCAGACUAGAGCAUUCAAGGUUCCUCGAUUCUAGACUUUCAGGAGAAAACUCUUUCUACCAAAAGAGAUCUCAGGGAAAGACAAGAGCCAGUAAUAAAAGCAGAGCGGUUCCCACAAGAACCGCAGGAGCCAUUGGUCCAAGGCUGAAUGACUGUACACACAGAACACGGAGGAAGAAGCUGAAGGGCACAGCUGGGUUCACAUCCCUACCAUCAACAGUCAACCGCCAGGAUCCCUGGGAUUCCCGCCCCCAACCCACCCCAGCACCAGGAAACAGACAGCAGUGAGGCUUUGAAAGGGCAGUCAUGGAGAUUCUUUCCCAGUUGACUAGAUGUAAUGUGUAACCCUUACCAGACCAGUAUGAAAGAUGUCAUCAGUUCAACCCCAAGCAUGUGCGGGAGAAUUGCUUUUACAACAAUGAGCAGCGGGCAUCUGCAGUCUUGAGCCGCUAAAUUAACCACCUGCAGUUAUCAAACCAGAAGGGGAAAACAUGGGCAAGGAAUGCAGGUGAAAGCUAUUUUCGUGGAUAAGAACGAGUUCUCUGACCCAAGAGGUGUUGAAGCAUCACUCGGUCCAGAUGUGACAGAGGGAAUUCAGACAUCCAGGUGCUUCAGACAGACCACAAUGAGUUUCAAACCUAGUCAUUCACCAUGGUCUCCUGAGAAACUUUCAAAGAAUACGUCUUGCUAUGCCUGUGCUGGAUGGAGAGAACCACCAGGCUGGGAACAAGACUUAAAGAAUCGGUAAUUCAGAGACUCUAGGGCUCUGUGAGAACUGGUAAUCUUUACAGAGGAUGGCUGCGAUCCCUGUAUGGUCAGGAAGUCUGUGAUUUCCUACCAAGGUUCUGAACCUCAUCUACCACAUAUGUACAGGGAGAAAGUGACCUGUGUAGACAGCCAGCCACUGGGAAAUGGCUUUUCCCCACCACACAGUAUAGUGUUUUGCAUAUUUGCUGAUGUUCCCCCCAAAAGCAUGCAGAAAUGAAUCAUUAUUGAAACAAUUUACUUUCAGUUAGUGCAUGAAUGCCUUCCCAGGAUGCCCUGAUGCUUUGUUUGUCCUCCUAUAAAAAUUAUUUAUGACCCAAGUGUGAUCUUUUAAAUCAGAAUACUUAUUCCUGAAAUCAAAGCUCCGGCAUGCUAAUGCAAGUAGAAACCUCGAUAAUUUUUCAAAGCUGUGUUGAAUAUUCAAAAGCUGGAGCUGAAGGAAAGGAGUUAACAUUAAUUAAUAUUUGAAGCAGUAAAAUAAAAGCAACAGUGAAGCUAAUUUUGCAGGACAAUUAAUCAUGAGUCUUGCUAAUUACACAUGGGAUUUUUUGCAAAUGAUUUUUUUUUCCUCAGGUAGCAAAGUAAAAAUGAUAAUCCACUACCCAUCAAAAUCAUUGGCUCCUCACCAAUGUCCCCAGCAAGAGCAAUUAGUGGGAACAGCAGAGCCCUAGUAAUUGCAUGUCAAGAGAGGAGAGCGGGAGGAUUUUAAUUGCUCUAAAUAAAGACCACUCGCUCAAACGUACACCUGAUUGUCCAAAACAGCCCUGCAAGCCAGAGCAAGCACGCCACGGCUUCCAGGUGCCCGCACAAAAAGAACUCUGUGGGAGCACUCUUCUCCCGGCAACCCCUGCAGUUUCUGGAAGAAAAUAUCAAUAUGCGUUCAUGCUCUGAACUGCACUGUCAUCACUUGGCUAUAAGAACCAAAAAAAAAAAAAAAAAAAAAAAAAAAAAACACCCACUUGGGAAAAUGUCCAUAUUCUUUAUAUUUGCCAAAUAUUUAUUGCUGACAUUUUUUUUGAAGAACUUUAACUAUCUACAAGGUGCCAAGGGCUUCAAAUUUACUGAAUUUUAGGAUCCCCAAUAAAAUGUUUUUAACAAGACAUCUCAAGAGGGCAUAAAAUAAAAAAUUACCAUAUUCAUGAGUGUGAGCCUCUAAGAUUGCAAUGCUAUAAACUGGAUGUUUAUAAUUUGCUUGUGGCUUUCUUAAUUAAAAACUGGUAAUUAGGAACUCAAGUACUAUUUUUUUUUCUGCACUUCAGCUCCUAUACUUUCUCUGCCCCUGUUACUUCUCAGCUUAAUACAUGUACACACGGAUGCACACAAUUGCAAAUGAUCAAUAAUAUUUAACUGUGUGUCUAAAACCUAAAUGAUGAUGGAUACAUUUAAAUAUUGCUUUCCAGGACAUUAUUAUUCCAACGGCCAUGCUGGGGCUUAAACAUUUAGUUUAAACACGACAGCUACCAUUUCUUGCUCUUCCUAUGCACCAUUUGCUCUCGGGUUUUAAACGGAAUUGCUGAAGAGCUUACUCAUAGCUAUUGUCUCCCCCAGUCCCUCUGCCUACCGUUGCGUGGUUAACUGUACCAUCCCGAGAAUUCAGACCCCCAGCUCUUCCCAUCAUUAGCUUCGUGGAAGGGAACGGUAACCUUAACGGUCGCACUUUCUCAGCACGGCCAGAACUGUGCGCCUUGCCUACUGCACCAGAACCAAGAGCAGCAAAGAAUCCUGGGAGAGGGAGCCGCUUCCUUGGCUGAAUCGCUAGCAGAUCACAGGAACCACUUGGUAACACUGUCUCCAGAUGAAAGAUCUCCAAAUAACCUGGACCAACUGCCACAGAGGAAGAAACAGCAGAUGCGAUUUUCCUCUGUGAUGGGCAGAGCCACUAUCGACCUUUGCAGAAGCAGCUCUUUUGUGAAUCUGAGCUUGGCUGGUUACUACCAUACCAGCAUUGUGAAUUGUGAAUUGUUUUGAAGGUUGAAAAUGAGCUUUACUGUGUUCUUCA